rnacentral:rRNA from 1 species
UACGUAGGUGGCAAGCGUUGUCCGGAUUUACUGGGCGUAAAGAGCGCGCAGGCGGUCGAUCAAGUCGCGUUGUGAAAGCCCCGGCUCAACUGGGGAGGGUCACGCGAUACUGAUCGACUCGAAGGCAGGAGAGGGUAGUGGAAUUCCGGGUGUAGUGGUGAAAUGCGUAGAGAUCCGGAGGAACACCAGUGGCGAAGGCGACACGCUGGCCGUACCUGACACUGAGGCGCGAUAGCAUGGGAGCAAACGGG